UUUUUUUGUCUGUUUUUUUUUAUUUGUGUGUUUGUUUGUUGCCGUUUUUGUACAGUGGGAAUUUAAAAUCACUCCAUACAUCAGUUACAUCUAACUAUAAAACCUGUGCUGAUCUAUUGUAUGUCUAACGUCUCACUGUAGCGGAUGCAGUGUUAUUCAUCAUUUGGUCGAACUCGCAGCGCGCACACACUGUAAGGUUCACGGAGACGUGGGCUGGAAAGCUGCAUCAGCUGUCUCAGCGGGGUUUAGCUCUGAAGCUGCACACACUGUUUAUCUCGCCUUAGAUCACACGCUAGUGGCAGGGCGUGGAGCUGUUUGUUUACUGAGGAUUCCAACCACAAAAACAUAUUGCAGUCUAUGCUGUUAACCUCAACCAUCUCUGCUCGCCUGCUCAUCGUCACUACCCCGGCAUAUCCUCCUACACACCGCAGCACUGCCCUGAUCUCUCUCCCCUGUUUGAGUAGCCUAGAGGAACAGUUUUACAACCAGGAAACUCAAAAGCUGUCGAAAUGCCUCUGAGACUCUGCACGUUGAUGCAUUCAGGGACAUCAAGGGAAAAGCGCUUAUUCUAACCCAGGAUACACGAAGACGUCAGAGGACGCUUGCUUUCUAAGUGCUCACGUUUAAAAGGCUUCAUUUAACAACAAGCUGUUCCACAUGUGUGCGGGUAGAGAAAGAAAAGGGACUGAAAAGUUGUCGACUCGAAGAAUGACACGAACUCACCUGAUCACCGUCUUUGGCUUCCUGAGAACUGCUUCAGAGAAACCACAGGGCCUCUAAACUGCGCUGCCGAGAGGAAGGAGGAGGGUUCAAGUGCUUCUGUGAAACAAGAAGAUCUCAGAUCUGUGUGGCACGAUGGGACAAACACGUCUUCUGUGGCCGCUCUGCCUGAUGUCGCUGCUCUGCUGCACAACUAACCAAGUUCAUUUAAGUGUGAGUCCCAGCAGCUCUCAGUUCUUU